rnacentral:lncRNA from 1 species
GGAAUUUGGAGAGAGAAUGUUUUGUACUAACUUGAGGUGUCUUCCAUUUUAUUCCAGUGGCUUGCUUGCUCCAUCCUAUUUAAUUCUAUGGUGAUGUCUAGAAAGCUUCAUCAACUCCUGCUGACUCAGUCACCUCUUCCAAAUUUUCGAGCUGAUGUCCAGAUGGCAGGAAAUCUCUCCCUCCUCAACUUCACAUCUGAGCUUCCCUAGCCUCCCUCUAGACUCAGCUCAAAUCCCAAACCAGAAGAGGAGUCUACCCCUACCCACUGUGAAGCUUCUAGAGAGCAAAAAUUAAAAGCACUUCCCAGGACACAUUUUUCAACUAUAAAGAAAGGGUAAAUAUGCAUUUCUGGGACAGAAAGUCUAGUUGA